rnacentral:rRNA from 1 species
ACGUAGGGGGCAAGCGUUGUCCGGAUUUAUUGGGCGUAAAGAGCGUGUAGGCGGCUAGGUAGGUCCGUUGUGAAAACUCGAGGCUCAACCUCGAGACGUCGAUGGAAACCAUCUGGCUAGAGUCCGGAAGAGGAGAGUGGAAUUCCUGGUGUAGCGGUGAAAUGCGCAGAUAUCAGGAAGAACACCCGUGGCGAAGGCGGCUCUCUGGUACGUGACUGACGCUGAGACGCGAAAGCGUGGGGAGCAAACAGGA